GCGAGGAUGGGAGCUAACCACCCCCCCAUCCCAUUCCCUCCCCUCCCGUCUCCUCCCUCCACCUUCCUUCGGGAAAGAGCUGGGGCGGUUCAUGAGACACAUCAAUGAGCAAAGAGCAGCCUUCAGAAACAAACCAUUCACAAUCAAUCCAUGGAGGGAAAACCUGAAAAAAAAAAUCACUGAAUAAUUCUGAAUGAUUUACUGCUGGCUGCAAGUGUGGAGUACAAAUCCCAGAGACACCUGGAAUCAAGAAGAGGAAGUGAUAAGCAAUCCUGCAGAGUUCUUCUGCUAUGAGUCUGGACUGCAAAUCCCAGAGACUUCAGGGGCAGCAGGAAGAGGAAGCAAACACACAGCCCAUGCUGGCCACAUGCCAGAAAGCUGUGCUCUAGUGCCCCCUGGCUUCUGG